rnacentral:rRNA from 1 species
GCAGUCGUACGAGAGUUUUUAACUCAAGUGGCGGACGGGUGAGUAACACGUAAGAAUUUGCCUCUAGGAGGGGGAUAACAACUGGAAACGGUUGCUAAUACCCCAUAUGCUUUCGAGUGAAAUGGUUUUCCGCCUAGAGAGAAGCUUGCGGCUGAUUAGCUUGUUGGUAAGGUAAUGGCUUACCAAGGCGACGAUCAGUAUCUGGUUUGAGAGGACGAUCAGACACACUGGAACUGAGACACGGUCCAGACUCCUACGGGAGGCAGCAGUGGGGAAUUUUCCGCAAUGGGCGAAAGCCUGACGGAGCAAUCUCGCGUGAGGGAUGACGGCCUAUGGGUUGUAAACCUCUUUUUUCAGGGAGGAAUAAAUGACGUGUACCUGAAGAAUAAGCAUCGGCUAACUCCGUGCCAGCAGCCGCGGUAAGACGGAGGAUGCAAGUGUUAUCCGGAAUCACUGGGCGUAAAGCGUCUGUAGGUGGUUUAAUAAGUCAACUGUUAAAUCUUGAAGCUCAACUUCAAAAUCGCAGUCGAAACUAUUAGACUAGAGUAUAGUAGGGGUAAAGGGAAUUUCCAGUGGAGCGGUGAAAUGCGUAGAGAUUGGAAAGAACACCGAUGGCGAAGGCACUUUACUGGGCUAUUACUGACACUCAGAGACGAAAGCUAGGGUAGCAAAUGGGAUUAGAUACCCCAGUAGUCCUAGCCGUAAACAAUGGAUACUAGAUGUUGAACAGAUCGACCUGUGCAGUAUUAAAGCUAACGCGUUAAGUAUCCCGCCUGGGAAGUAUGCUCGCAAGAGUGAAA